GUCCCUUCUCCUAUCCUUCCCUACCUCCUCUGAUUUGGGAUUACCUCCUCUGAUUUGCUUCCGGCACACCUCUACUCCUGCGGCCUCUACCUGGAACCCUCGGUUGAUUUGAUUCCGCCAUACCUCCACUCUUGCAGCCUCUACCUGGAACCCUCGGCUUCAUGAAAGUAAGCACCAGAGGCCCCUCCGCGCUCUCGCCCCUGCCCUCAUCCUCCUCCGCGUACCCUCUAUCUACUCCUUUACACGUCCCGUCAGCCACGACCGUGAUGCCCAUCGAACAACAGAGCCGACAGAUCAUUUAUACAGUAUAUGGGUUCUCGCAGUCGCAGCGAAGGGUGACCGUCAGGCUCUUUAUGGUUGAUAGCUUGACGUUAGGGAGGUGUCGAAGUCUACUCGCCUGAUCCUGGUCGAGGAAACGAAAUGAUCAGCGUAGACCGACUUUGUUGAGAAAUUCCGCUAGCUUCCCACGACCAUGACCAGAUACCAAUUCCGUUAAUGAGAGAGGUGAAAAUUGUGAACCUUUUUCCCAGAUCGCAAGGCUCUGAAGAAACUGAAUGUUCAGAGCACCCUUGAUGUACCUCAGCCAUGCCGAAUUUUGUAAGGCCUUCGCCACCAUUAUUUGCUCAAGGAGGUACCCGCCAGCCAUUUCGUGCCUUCGGCCCGCCACCUUGACGUACAGACGUAACAAGUUUCAUGCAGGCAUUAUGAUGUACUGAUAUGGGUGCUUGACAAGGUGGAAGAGCUAUAUAUUUAUAGUUUUCUCUGAUUCGGUUUAUUCUAUUUACCAUGGACCUAUGAAACCGGAAUGUUACCUCAAAAAAAGUCAGUCUUGCAAAGAAAAGGAACAUUUGCGAGGAUACGAUACAUAUCUUGUUCAGUUUAUUAAACUGGUCAGAGUUUUCCUACCUUUUGUUUAUGAGAUAACUUGUACGUUUGAGACAAGAUUAGCACCAUCUUUAUCAAGUUUGUGUCUUAUAGUUAUGCUGUUAUUUAUGUUUACCCUUUACGUCC